GACGAACGCUGGCGGCGUGCCUAAUACAUGCAAGUCGAACGAGUGGCGUACGGGUGAGUAACCCGUGGGAACCUACCCAUCAGAGGGGGAUAACACUUGGAAACAGGUGCUAAUACCGCAUACUGAUGGCUGGACCCUCGGUGCAUUAGCUAGUUGGUGAGGUAACGGCUCACCUAGGCGACGAUCCCUAGCUGGUCGGAGAGGAUGACCAGCCACACGGGAACUGAGACACGGUCCAGACUCCUACGGGAGGCAGCAGUGGGGAAUAUUGCACAAUGGGCGAAAGCCUGAUGCAGCCAUGCCGCGUGUGUGAAGAAGGCCUUCGGGUUGUAAAGCACUUUCAGCGAGGAGGCGUUACUCGCAGAAGAAGCACCGGCUAACUCCGUGCCAGCAGCCGCGGUAAUAC
rnacentral:rRNA from 1 species